CGGAGCCUCGGCGGCGGCGCGCGGCGGACAUGAACUCCGGCAGCCAAUAGGAGCAGAGGGCGGGGCCUGAGGGGGAAGGAGAGCGGCGCGAGCGGCGCGAGCGGAGGAGGGCGCCCCCCAGCGGACGCCUCGUGCCAGGAUGGGCUUGGACGGAGCCUACAAACAGG